GACGAACGCUGGCGGCGUGCCUAAUACAUGCAAGUAGGACGCAGUUGCGAACGGGUGAGUAACGCGUAGGUCACUGCCUAUUAGAGGGGGAUAGAUAUUGGAACCGAUAGCUAAUACCGCAUACUAGUAGGUGGACCUGCGUUGUAUUAGCUAGUAGGUCGGGUAAUGGCCUAACUAGGCGACGAUACAUAGCCGGCCUGAGAAGGUGAUCGGCCACAACGGGAAUUGGACACGGCCCAGACCUCUACGGGAGGCAGCAAGAGGGAAUUUUCGGCAAUGGGGGGAAAGCCUACCGAGCAAAGGCGCGGGAGUGGAGAAAGGUGUCGGAUCGGAAAGGUCUGGUGUGAAGGAAGCGUUAUCUAACCAGAAAGCCACGGCUAACUACGUGCCAGCAGCCGCGGUAAUUC
rnacentral:rRNA from 1 species